rnacentral:rRNA from 1 species
UAGGGAAUCUUCCACAAUGGGCGCAAGCCUGAUGGAGCAACGCCGCGUGUGUGAUGAAGGGUUUCGGCUCGUAAAACACUGUUAUAAGAGAAGAACGGCACUGAGAGUAACUGUUCAGUGUGUGACGGUAUCUUACCAGAAAGGAACGGCUAAAUACGUGCCAG